UACGUAGGGAGCAAGCGUUGUCCGGAAUCAUUGGGCGUAAAGCGCGCGUAGGCGCCCCAUAAGUCCGCUGUGAAAGUCAAAGGCUCAACCUUUGAAAGCCGGUGGAUACUGUGGGGCUAGAGUACGGAAGAGGCGAGUGGAAUUCCUGGUGUAGCGGUGAAAUGGCGUAGAUAUCAGGAGGAACACCUGCGGUGUAGACGGCUUACUGGACGGUAACUGACGCUGAGGCACGAAAGCGUGGGUAGCAAACAGG
rnacentral:rRNA from 1 species